GUGGGAAGGGGAGGGGGAGCAGCGCGGGCGGAAGCGGCCAGGAAGGUCACUUCCGGCCUGGGCGCCCGUCCCCCUGACCCCAGGGUCUGAGUCGCCGCUGCCGCCGCUGCCACCAUCCGCGAGGGAGCAGAGAGGAGGAGUGCGGCGCGGCGGCCCCGGGACCGAGGAGGGACCCAGACAUGGAGCUUCGGGAAGAGGCCUGGUCUCCGGGGCCGCUGGAUUCCGAGGACCAGCAGAUGGCCAGUCAUGAGAACCCAGGAAUCGUAAUUGGCAAUGGUGGGAUCUCUCUCCGAUUCUGGGCCUGGCGUCCAGGUCUCUGGCCCGCACUGAGGCAGCUACUUGCUCCUCGGUGGUUAUCUCGAAACUAACAAACUAACGUGGGGUCAGCAAGUAAGUAACUCUGGGGCAUUCAGAUUCUCUCCUCCCCUUUGAAGAGGGGAGAUGCAGAGAUCACAGAGAAGACUCUAGAAAAACCUGUAGGUCCGGAUUUGUCUGGGAAGUGUCAGUGUGAACUCAGAGGAAUUUUAUUGUAAGGAAAGAAAACAAACAGUGAUCCUCUCCUGAUUUCGGUCUUGAAGUAUUUUCCGCCAAAAGAGCCCAGGGCCUCCUGGAGAAACAGCGCGUUUCACGUCCGGGUGGGACACGUAGAUGAGCCUGGAACGUCUCAGGCUGGGUAGCAGGGAAGCUGCCGGAAGACCACCUGGGCCCCGUCCGGGGGGUGUGGAGCCCCCUCAACUUGCUGUGGAUGGGACACUGGGAGGUCCGCUAGCUGUGAUGAUGGCAGUGGAGUGAGACCCACCGUAUACGUUUACAUCCAGGAGUUCAUGGCGACGUUGAGAAAGGGAGCUCUGUUCUGCACACUCAGUGAGUCGGGCCACCUGAGUGUUGAGCGCCGGUGGCUGCUGACCGCGCAGACAGGCACUGUGGACGCCGAUGGCACGGACAGACAGGCAUGGCGGACAGACAUCGUGUACCUUUGAGGCGGGGGCAGGGUCUUCAGACAGCAGGUCUGGGGACGGAGUCACCUGCUGAACCGCAUGCAGCCCGCGCUCUUGAACAGCAAGGCUGUGAGCAAAAGCAAGACACAGGAGAGUCUGGAUUGAAAGAGACUCUCAGACACUCUGAACUGAAAAGUAACGGACCACAGGGACGCCUGGGUGGCUCAGUCGGUUGAGUGUCCGACUUCAGCUCAGGUCAUGAUGUCGCCAUCUGUGAGUUCAAGCCCCGUGU